rnacentral:rRNA from 1 species
CCUACGGGGGGCAGCAGUGAGGAAUAUUGGUCAAUGGGCGCGAGCCUGAUCCAGCCAAGUAGCGUGAAGGAUGACUGCCCUACGGGUUGUAAACUUCUUUUAUAAAGGAAUAAAGUGAGGCACGUGUGCCUUUUUGUAUGUACUUUAUGAAUAAGGAUCGGCUAACUCCGUGCCAGCAGCCGCGGUAAUACGGAGGAUCCGAGCGUUAUCCGGAUUUAUUGGGUUUAAAGGGAGCGUAGAUGGGUUGUUAAGUCAGUUGUGAAAGUUUGCGGCUCAACCGUAAAAUUGCAAUUGAUACUGGCAGUCUUGAGUACAGUUGAGGUAGGCGGAAUUCGUGGUGUAGCGGUGAAAUGCUUAGAUAUCACGAAGAACUCCGAUUGCGAAGGCAGCUUACUAAACUGCCACUGACAUUGAUGCUCGAAAGUGUGGGUAUCAAACAGGAUUAGAUACCCGAGUAGUC